CCUCUGAGAGCCUCAGGUUUCUCAUUGUGAUCCCUGCCUCCAGUGGAGCUGGCACAGUGAUGGGCAGGUGGCAGGAGCUCCUGCUCUGUAAAGCUCUGGCACCGCCACCUGCUCUGUUCCAGGGUUGCCUUGGCCUGGUGAGCUCCUACUUGGCUUUCAGAACCCAGCCACAAGGUCCUGUACUUGGGAGGUUUCCCUAAUCCUCCAGAGCAUCCAAGGUCACCUCAUUAUGGCCCUGUGUGAAGACAUCACCCCAAAGGGGACAUCGUUUUGGAACAUCUGAUCAGCUUUCUGAGUCAGAUCCACUAGCUCGUAAAAUCCAAUAAAUGUCAAAAAUCUGU